AAAACAUCUCUGACUUCCAUGGGAAGUAGCAGACUUACUUGAUUCCAGGCCGAUUUGUGCUAGAAGUAGAGGAUUUGCUGUGGGUGCAGAGGAUUAGCACAAUAAGAGGAUCAGCGGAUUUAUGAGGACUCCAAAAUAAAACUUCUAAUUUUUGAGAUUUGAGUGUUUCUAAAGGAAGAAAGAAAUAUUUCUAAAUUUUCCAAAAUUAUUGAACUCAGUAGCAGAGAAGUACGCACUGGAGUGUUGUCAGAGCAAAACCCACAUCCACUUUCAUUCAGGAGGAACAUUUUGAAGUUACGAACUGCAGCACCGAGGAGUUGAAAAGGCUCUCCUAGGAUUCCAAGUGACUUAACAUUAUCGUUGAAUGCAUCGCCAGUACAAUGCAGUGUGUAAUAAAAUUCCCAGUGAGUGGAGAGUUAAUAACAUCCUUUAAUAUGGAAUUUGGACAAGUUGCCAUCAUGGUUAAUGAGAGUAUUAAGUCUGAACUUGAUUCUUCUAUUUGCAGGUAUUUGUUCUGAGGGGAAAUUUAUGUUGUGUGAAAAGAAUUUGAAAACGUGUAAGGUGUAAUUAUCAUCAACGUGUGGCAUCUGCUAAAGUUUUUAACUUCAGUUAUGUGAGCAGUAAGUACGCUUUUUGGCAUGUGGCCACAGGAAAAUUGCUUCAGAAAAUGUAGACAGCCACAAUGUCCUCUUUUUCUUAUGUGGGAACUUACCUUGGAUAAUAUACAACCUUCUCAGGACCCGACAUUUUAUAUUGUCUCAAUAAGUUGCUCAAAACAUUAUCAAAAUUAGCAAUGAUUUUCAAUGUGGAUAUUAUUACCAAAAUCCAAGUCUCGUUUUCACUUUCAA
rnacentral:lncRNA from 1 species